UACGUAGGGGGCAAGCGUUGUCCGGAAUCAUUGGGCGUAAAGAGCGUGUAGGCGGCCCGGUAAGUCCGCUGUGAAAGUCCAGGGCUCAACCCUGGGAUGCCGGUGGAUACUGUCGGGCUCGAGUCCGGAAGAGGAGUGUGGAAUUCCUGGUGUAGCGGUGAAAUGCGCAGAUAUCAGGAGGAACACCGGUGGCGAAGGCGGCGACCUGGGUAGAUACUGACGCUGAGGUGCGAAAGCGUGGGGAGCAAACAGG
rnacentral:rRNA from 1 species